rnacentral:rRNA from 1 species
AGCGAACGCUGGCGGCAGGCUUAACACAUGCAAGUCGAGCGGGCGUAGCAAUACGUCAGCGGCAGACGGGUGAGUAACGCGUGGGAACGUACCUUUUGGUUCGGAACAACCCAGGGAAACUUGGGCUAAUACCGGAUAAGCCCUUACGGGGAAAGAUUUAUCGCCGAAAGAUCGGCCCGCGUCUGAUUAGCUAGUUGGUGUGGUAACGGCGCACCAAGGCGACGAUCAGUAGCUGGUCUGAGAGGAUGAUCAGCCACAUUGGGACUGAGACACGGCCCAAACUCCUACGGGAGGCAGCAGUGGGGAAUAUUGGACAAUGGGCGCAAGCCUGAUCCAGCCAUGCCGCGUGAGUGAUGAAGGCCCUAGGGUUGUAAAGCUCUUUUGUGCGGGAAGAUAAUGACGGUACCGCAAGAAUAAAGCCCCGGCUAACUUCGUGCCAGCCGCCGCCGUAAU